ensembl:lncRNA
CACACAGAGAAAAAAUACUUGCCCUACUGAAGUACUAUUUUUUUAAAUGAGGAUUUUAUUUUUUUUUUUAAUUUUCAGUGCUGCAGCAUGGUAGAAAAGGCUCCUUUGUCUCCAGAAAUAGUACAAUGGUGCUUUGAACGGCAGGUGAUUUGAUCAGAUGAUCACUAGCAAAGUGACUGAAGAACAGAAAGUGUUUCAACUAAAGGAGGAAAGAAUCCAAUUUCUGUUUCUAUUUGCAGCAGAAAAUGCAGUAUUUUUAAGGAAGCUGAUCACCCCAUGAAGAAUAAAGCCUGCAACUACAAAAUAUUUGUCUUGAAAUCAGUAAC